rnacentral:tRNA from 1 species
AGUUUUAUAUUCAAAAAAUGAUAUUAGAAUGCAAUUCUAAUGGUGUAUUUAUUUUAUACUAAGACUU